AUUGAACGCUGGCGGCAGGCCUAACACAUGCAAGUCGAGCGGAUGAAGGGAGCUUGCUCCUGGAUUCAGCGGCGGACGGGUGAGUAAUGCCUAGGAAUCUGCCUGGUAGUGGGGGAUAACGUCCGGAAACGGGCGCUAAUACCGCAUACGUCCUGAGGGAGAAAGUGGGGGAUCUUCGGACCUCACGCUAUCAGAUGAGCCUAGGUCGGAUUAGCUAGUUGGUGGGGUAAAGGCCUACCAAGGCGACGAUCCGUAACUGGUCUGAGAGGAUGAUCAGUCACACUUGAACUGAGAAACGGUCCAGACUCCUACGGGAGGCAGCAGUGGGGAAUAUUGGACAAUGGGCGGAAGCCUGAUCCAACCAUGGCGCGUGUGUGAAGAAGGUCUUCGGAUUGUAAAGCACUUUAAGUUGGGAGGAAGGGCAGUAAGUUAAUACCUUGCUGUUUUGACGUUACCAACAGAAUAAGCACCGGCUAAAUUCGUG
rnacentral:rRNA from 1 species